rnacentral:rRNA from 1 species
UACGAAGGGAGCAAGCGUUGUCCGGAAUCAUUGGGCGUAAAGCGCGUGUAGGCGGUCCGGUAAGUCCGCUGUGAAAGUCGGGGGCUCAACCCUCGAAUGCCGGUGGAUACUGUCGGGCUUGAGUGCGGGAGAGGCGAGUGGAAUUCCUGGUGUAGCGGUGAAAUGCGCAGAUAUCAGGAGGAACACCGAUUGCGAAGGCAGCUCGCUGGAACGUUACUGACGCUGAGACGCGAAAGCGUGGGGAGCAAACAGG